GGGCAUAUGGUGUAGGGGUUAUCACGUUCGCUUUGCAUGUAGUAGUUCCAAGUAUCAUUGCGAAAGGUCUCCGGUUCAAAUCCGGAUUUGUCCA